AGGAUAAACGCUGGCGGCGUGCCUAACACAUGCAAGUCGAACGUCUCUUCUUUCGGGAAGAGGAGUGGCGGACGGGUGAGGAACACGUGGGAACCUGCCCUUCAGUGAGGAAUACCGGCGAGAAAUCGCCGACAAGACCGCAUAGCCCUCUCUGGUGAGAGCCAGAGAAGGAAAGCCUCGCAAGAGGCGCUGGAGGAGGGGCCUGCGUCCGAUUAGCUAGUUGGUGGGGUAAGAGCCUACCAAGGCGUCGAUCGGUAGCUGGUCUGAGAGGACGAUCAGCCACACUGGGAUUGAGAACGGCCCAGACUCCUACGGGGGGCAGCAGUGAGGAAUUUUCGGCAAUGGGGGAAACCCUGACCGAGCAACGCCGCGUGCAGGAAGACGGCCUUCGGGUUGUAAACGUGCUUUUCUUUGGGUACGAGCGAAGGACGGUACCAGAGGAAUCAGCCCGGCUCACUACGUGCCAGCAGCCGC
rnacentral:rRNA from 1 species